CCCCUGCCGCGCUCUGCUCUAGUUCACCUCCGCCGCACUACUCCGCUGCCGUGUUAUGCUCCGGCUAUCCGCCGUCGCGCGCUGUGCUUCGUCUCGCCACCCAAAAUGCUCUGCUUUCGAUCCAAAGAAGCCAACGAGUCGCCGAAUAUGUCGUCGGCGAGGCCAUACAGGCGGAUACCGACCACCUUGAUGCUAAAAGCUCCCCCCUUUGAGCUCAAAUGAGGAGUACGGCGGCGGCGAUGUCCUAGAGCAGCACGAUUUGCGUUCUUUGGAUCUGGCCCUACCCGUCCGACGGCAGCGGCGUCCCUGCCGUAUUCCUCGCCCGCAGGUAUCCUUCGCAGGUAUGUUGUCCAGUAGAUGGAUGGAUUGAUGGGCGUGGCAGGUCCUCUUCCAUCUCCACCACCUCAAGAGCAGGGGAGGAGCCUGUGUGGCGAGCUAACCAACACCACACCUUGCAGCAACGAUCCAUCCACCACAGAGACUAGCCACCUACCAAACAUGCCAGGAGGCCCGAGUGUCAAAUCCAGAAAAGCUGGUGCUGGUGCUUUCCAUCCUAGGAAAGGGAUGCCCUGGAUUCAACCAGGUUGGCCUAUCAAUGGACGUCCCAAUGCAGCCCAAUGAGGAGGGGAUUGAAGUCAUGCCCGGACCAAUUCAUUGAUUCUUAGAAGAGUUCUAAAACUAGUAGAGCAAUUGUACUGUUUAUUGUAAGAUGUCUGAGACUAGUAGAGCAAGUGUACUGCUUAUUGUAAGACGUGUGAAACUAGUAGAGCAAGUGUAAAUGUCUGUAAAAAAUCAGUGUUGUAUCCUGUUUGAAUAUAAAGUGUACUGCUUAUUGCAAA